rnacentral:rRNA from 1 species
AUUGAACGCUGGCGGCAUGCCUUACACAUGCAAGUCGAACGGCAGCACGGGGGCAACCCUGGUGGCGAGUGGCGAACGGGUGAGUAACAUAUCGGAACGUGCCCUGGAGUGGGGGAUAACUAGUCGAAAGAUUAGCUAAUACCGCAUACGAUCUACGGAUGAAAGUGGGGGAUCGCAAGACCUCAUGCUCGUGGAGCGGCCGAUAUCUGAUUAGCUAGUUGGUGGGGUAAAGGCCUACCAAGGCAUCGACCAGUAGCUGGUCUGAGAGGACGACCAGCCACACUGGGACUGAGACACGGCCCAGACUCCUACGGGAGGCAGCAGUGGGAAUUUUGGACAAUGGGCGCAAGCCUGAUCCAGCAAUGCCGCGUGAGUGAAGAAGGCCUUCGGGUUGUAAAGCUCUUUUGUCAGGGAAGAAACGGUGAGGGCUAAUAUCCUUUGCUAAUGACGGUACCUGAAGAAUAAGCACCGGCUAACUACGUGCCAGCAGCCGCGGUAAUACGCAGGGUGCAAGCGUUAAUCGGAAUUACUGGGCGUAAAGCGUGCGCAGGCGGUUGUGCAAGACCGAUGUGAAAUCCCCGGGCUUAACCUGGGAAUGGCAUUGGUGACUGCACGGCUAGAGUGUGUCAGAGGGGGGUAGAAUUCCACGUGUAGCAGUGAAAUGCGUAGAGAUGUGGAGGAAUACCGAUGGCGAAGGCAGCCCCCUGGGAUAACACUGACGCUCAUGCACGAAAGCGUGGGGAGCAAACAGGAUUAGAUACCCUGGUAGUCCACGCCCUAAACGAUGUCAACUAGUUGUCGGGUCUUAAUUGACUUGGUAACGCAGCUAACGCGUGAAGUUGACCGCCUGGGGAGUACGGUCGCAAGACUAAAACUCAAAGGAAUUGACGGGGACCCGCACAAGCGGUGGAUGAUGUGGAUUAAUUCGAUGCAACGCGAAAAACCUUACCUACCCUUGACAUGGCAGGAAUCCCGGAGAGAUUCGGGAGUGCUCGAAAGAGAACCUGCACACAGGUGCUGCAUGGCUGUCGUCAGCUCGUGUCGUGAGAUGUUGGGUUAAGUCCCGCAACGAGCGCAACCCUUGUCAUUAGUUGCUACGAAAGGGCACUCUAAUGAGACUGCCGGUGACAAACCGGAGGAAGGUGGGGAUGACGUCAAGUCCUCAUGGCCCUUAUGGGUAGGGCUUCACACGUCAUACAAUGGUACAUACAGAGGGCCGCCAACCCGCGAGGGGGAGCUAAUCCCAGAAAGUGUAUCGUAGUCCGGAUUGCAGUCUGCAACUCGACUGCAUGAAGUUGGAAUCGCUAGUAAUCGCGGAUCAGCAUGUCGCGGUGAAUACGUUCCCGGGUCU